GAUGAACGCUGGCGGCGUGCCUAAUACAUGCAAGUCGAGCGAACAGACGAGGAGCUUGCUCCUCUGACGUUAGCGGCGGACGGGUGAGUAACACGUCGAGGACCUACCUAUAAGACUGGGAUAACUUAGGGAAACCGGAGCUAAUACCGGAUAAUAUAUUGAACCGCAUGGAUCAAUAGUGAAAGACGGUUUUGCUGUCACUGAUAGAUGGAUCCGCGCCGCAUUAGCUAGUUGGUAAGGUAACGGCUUACCAAGGCAACGAUGCGUAGCCGACCUGAGAGGGUGAUCGGCCACACUGGAACUGAGACACGGUCCAGACUCCUACGGGAGGCAGCAGUAGGGAAUCUUCCGCAAUGGGCGAAAGCCUGACGGAGCAACGCCGCGUGAGUGAUGAAGGUCUUCGGAUCGUAAAACUCUGUUAUUAGGGAAGAACAAAUGUGUAAGUAACUAUGCACGUCUUGACGGUACCUAAUCAGAAAGCAACGGCUAACUACGUG
rnacentral:rRNA from 1 species